AGGGGCAUAGCUGACUGGUAGAGUGCAUGCCUAGCACGCACAAGGUCCUGGGUUUAAUCCCCAGUAUCUCCA
rfam:Camelus ferus unplaced genomic scaffold scaffold547, whole genome shotgun sequence.